AGGGCAGCGCGUGUCGGCGUCCGGAGGAGGUGACCUAGCCGCCGCGGUCCUAGAAGGGAGAAGUGGAGAGAGACCGCUGGCAGGAUGGCAGCAGAUGAAAGCUCACAGAACACUUUGCGGCUCCAGUUCAAGGCAAUGCAGGAGAUGCAGCACAAACGGUUACAGAAGCAGAUGGAGAAAAAGAGGGAAAAAGAACUGAGCCUCAAAAGCAGAGCUGACGACCAAGAGGAGCCCUUGGAGGUUUCAGAUGGCCUCAGCCUUCUCCACGCAGGGGAGCCAAACUCGAAAAAUAGCUUUGAGAAGAGGGUGCUUGAAGAUGAGAUUGAACACCUUCGAAAUGAGCUCAGGGAAACGGUGGACGAGAACGGGCGAUUGUAUAAGCUGCUGAAGGAAAGGGACUUUGAAAUCAAACACCUCAAAAAGAAAAUAGAAGAGGACAGAUUUGCCUUCACAGGGACAGCCGGUGUAGCCGGAGACGUGGUCGCCACCAAAAUUGUGGAGCUAUCAAAAAAGAACCGGCUGUUGAUGGCAGAAUCAGAGGGUGCAAAAACCAGGGUGAAGCAGCUGACCAAUCGCAUCCAGGAGCUGGAGCGGGAACUGCAGACAGCCCUGACCAGGCUGUCAGCCAAGGGGGCCACCGACGCAGGAGCCAAGCCACCGAGGGCCCAGAUGGGAGACAGAGCAUUGCUGGAGACCCCAGAGGUGAAGGCCCUGCAGGACAGGCUGGUGGCCACCAACUUGAAGAUGAGUGACCUCCGAAACCAGAUCCAGUCUGUGAAGCAGGAGCUGCGGAUGGCACAGAAGGUUUUGGCCAGAGAGGUUGGGGAAGACAUCAACGUUCAGCAGCUCCUAUCUUCGCCAGGGACCUGGAGGGGUCGGGCUCAACAAAUUCUUGUUUUGCAGAGCAAGGUUCAAGAGCUUGAGAAGCAAUUGGGCCAGGCCCGGAGCCAGUCUGCGGGAACAGCCAGUGAUGAGUUGUCUGUCUAUCCAGACCCAAGGAAGCUGUCGGCACAGGAGAAAAACCUGCUGAGGAUCCGCAGCCUGGAAAGGGAAAAACAGGAAGGCUUGGAGAAACUUGCCAGUGAACGGGAUGUCCUCCAGAGAGAGCUUGAAGAGCUAAAAAAGAAGUUCGAGGGCAUGAGGUCUCGGAACAAGCUGCUGUCAAGUGAGAUGAAGACCCUCAAGAGUCAGAUGGGAACCCUGGUGGAGAAGGGCCGGCAUGAUGACGAGCUCAUCGACGCCCUCAUGGACCAGCUGAAGCAGCUACAGGAGAUCCUAGGCAGCCUGAGUCUGCAGGAGGAGAAAACGCGAGUGUCCCAGCACCACCUGGACCAGCAACUGAACAGCGAGGCUCAGCGGAGCAACAGCCUAGUCGCCCAGCUGCAGGCCAUGGUAGCUGAGCGGGAGGCCAAAGUGCGACAGCUGGAGAUGGAGAUCGGACAACUCAAUGUGCACUAUCUUCGGAAUAAAGGAGUGGGUGAGGGGUCCAGUGGCCGCGAGGUCAGCCCUGCCUAUACCCAGUUCCUGGAGGACCCAGGCCUGACCAAGUCCCCGGCCUCAGCAGGCGAUCAUGUUGGCAGGCUUGGAUCUUCUCGCUCUGUGACCAGCCUGGGCCACACACUGGUGGAAUCUGCUCUCACGAGGCCUUCCCUGCCCAGUCCCCACAGGACCUCACCUAGGUUCUCGGACUCCCCAGAACAAAAAGGCUGGCAGGCACAAGUGUCAGAGAUCAAGGCCCUCUGGCAGGCUGCCGAGGUGGAGCGUGACCGGCUCACCGAGUUUGUCACUGUCCUGCAGAAACGGGUGGAGGAGAGCAACAGCAAGCUCCUGGAGUCAGAGAGGAAGCUGCAGGAGGAGCGACACCGCACCGUGGUGCUGGAGCAACAUCUGGAGAAGAUACGCCUGGAGCCAGGGAAGGCAUCAGCCUCCCAGAGAGCAGCUCCCAGGACCAAAACAGGUCUGCCCACCUCUAACAACAGGCACAACCCAACCGGGAGCGAGAAGAAGGACCCAUCCUUUGCCCAGCUCUCCGAUGUGCCCGUGGAAUCCCAAAUGGAAGAGCUGACAACCAGGCUGGCCAUCCAGGUGGAGGAGAAUGAAAUGCUAAAGGCUGCCCUGGGCAGUGCCCUGCGGGGAAAGGAGGAGGACUUCCGGAUGUACCAUGAGAUCCUGGGCCAGGUGAAAAGUGUCUUCCUGCAGGCCCUGCGGCAGCAGAAGACAGGCAAGCAAUAGGAUGACAGCCCAGUGUCGGCCUGGCCGGGUGGGCAGCCUCAGGUCUUGAGAGGAUAAGACUCUGUCUGAGGACUCCAUCUGCUCCGGGAAGCCAGCCCAGGGCAGCCAGCUCAACCACUUCUACCAGAAGAGGCUCCUUAAGGAUGACCAAAACCAAUGUCUCAGGCCAGGAAGGCAGAAGAGAAGCCCUGGUGGGACACUGCAGGAGACCCUGGGCUGGCUGGGUUACAGCAGCAGGGAGGCCCAGCAGCCCACUGGCAGAGGCGAGAGCUCUGGGAUGGCAAGGCGGCUGUGAAUGGACAGAUGCAGUCCCUCGGGCAGGUGUUCAUCGCCCUCAUCCUAGAUGAAGAAACUGAGGUUCACAGAAAGAAGCUGAGCUAAUAUUUAACUGCAGUCUGCCUGACCCCAAAACCAGGGUCUUGCCGUUCAGAGAUUACCCAGGGUAGGCGCACCCACCCACCACUGAACAACCCCACCCCUAGGCAGCAGCUCCAAGAGGCAUCUUUGUUUGCUCACCAAGACUGCUGAUGGAUGCUGGUGGCAGAGGGCCGAGGUGGGGCUCAGCUGGAGCUUCAGGCAGAAGGGUUUUGAGGUAGUGGCUCCAGUCAAAGGUACAGUGCACCUCCCUCGCCAUGGUGAACUUGGAGGGAUGCUGCAGGGGCACCCUAAGAUCCGCAGGCCUCUAUGACUGUCAGUGUUGCCCUUUCUCAGCUGUAACUAUGCACUUAUAGCUACAGGAAGGAGUGGCCCCAAGGAGGGUCACUCAUAGCCACACACCCCAACUCCGACACCCUGGCCACACAGGUGCACCCACAGCCCCACACAAAGAUGCAGAUGCACACACAUACCUCAAUUCAGGAGCAUGCAACUGUACGUGCACACAGGCACCUCCAUGUGUGCACACUCAUGGACACACAGGUGCAGAUGAGCACACACAUGUGGAUGUGGACACACAUUCCCACACGUGAAGACAUAGCCACUUGUGUGUUGCUUGUGCAGUGAUGCACAAAUGCAGGUGCACAUACUGUGAAAACACCCCCUUCCCCAGGAAAAGCCACUGGGGCUCCUGCGAGCAUCUUGUCAGCUCCUUCCUUGGAAAAGCCACUGCGGCUCCUGGGACCCUGUCUUCUCAGCCCCUUCCUUGGGGAUGGGGCUAUGGAGGGACCCUAGCUGGCCCCCACUCCUCAGGGAGCCCCUGACCCUGCAUGGGGUCACACGGAUCUAGAGAUCCCACAGCAAGUUAGAGCAAAGGCCACCGGGAUGAACUGAUGAUUCUGGUGGGGUCCUAAGGGUCUCUGGGAAGGAAGAGUUUUUCUCUGGUUCCUUGUGAAGGAAAACGGCCAGGCAGAGAGCCAGGAGAGAGAGGGUCUGUGCUUGGAGGGGACAGUGUGUGACAGCGAGGGGUGGGCUGGAUGUAGAGUCUGAACACAGAGGAGUCAGCACCUUCUCCUGCAGGCCCUGAGGAGCUCCAGAGGGUGAUCUGAGUAUGAGGGGUACAGGCUCUGGCCUCAGUGCAGUCCCAGGGAGUGAGAAGCAGGCAUAGGAUCAGCCAUCCUUCCUCAAGAUCACCUCAGGGAAGUGCAGAGAUGGUGUGACCCACACUCCAGCCACUUCAGGGUGGUUCUGCUGCCCUUCCUGGGCUAUGCCUGAGAAAGGAAGGAGCAUUAGGUCAUGGAGUCUGGACAGGUGGGGCUGCCUGGGGCAUACUUCUCUCCCCACUUACCAGCUGUGUGGCCUUGGGCAAGUUAUUUAACCUCUCUGAUCCUCCACAUUCUCAUCUAUAAAAUGCAGACAAUAAUAGAAUCCUCCCUCAGGGGGCUGUUAUUAAUAUGUAUGUCAAAGAAUAACCCAAAGACGUUUCACUAAUUAUUAGCUCUCUGUUUAUUUCUGUACAAGGAACAUGUAUCUAUAGACUGAUUUCAACAAGAGUUAUAUAAGAGAGAGGGGAAAGAAAAACUGCAGACAGGCAGGCACAGGAAAUCUUGUUUGCACAUUUUUGGGUAAACUGAUUUGCUGGUGUCUUGCUUUGGCCAACUCUGUAUAUAAAGAUGAGUGUUUCAGCUUUCAGAUUCCACGGGCAACCUUGACAGCAUUGCUGUGGUGCCAUGUGCGGGAGUGCCUGUCAUGUCUGCUGGCACCUACCACCGGGCACCUCCCCACCCCUAGCUUGGUUAGAUCAGGUCUGCUCCAUUCCCUCAUUGGAACCCUCUGCAGGGUUCACUGAGAUAAAGUGUCCAUUGCUUACAGCAGCUGCUCGCACACAGUAAGCGCUUAAUAAUUAUUCGCUCUUAGUGUUCCCUCCAUUUGUUCAACCAGAACUUGUUGAGCAGUUCCUCUGCCCCAGGCACAGAGGUGCCGAGGUGAGGCAAACACAGUCCCUGGCCUCCAGGAACUCUCAGAUCAGCUGAGGAGAGAGACAGACUGGUCACAGGUCACCAUUCCAUCCAGCCAGUCGGCCACCAGGCAGUCAGUGAGUGCCAACAGCAUGCCAGCCUCUCCAGGCCUGGGAGGGACCUAGAGGUGAAUCUGACUUGCUUCCUCCUUUCAGGGAGUUUCCAGUCCAAUCAGAGGUGUGGGAAACGCCAUGAUGGAGCUGGGUGGGGAAGGAUGCAGGACCGGGCUGCAGCACCACAGGGCUUCCCCCACCAUCCCCACCCCAUCCCUGUGGCAGUUCCCAAGUUCCCAACCUCCUUGAUCAGAUCUGGGUAGAGAGGGGGCUUCACAUCUCCCUGAGGCAAAGGAGCAAGGAGGAGUAAAGGGAAGGUGGGGAGAGCCUGGGAGAAGGAUUUUCAAGGGAAGGAGGUCAUCAAAGGGGUCAAAGAUAGGGACCCUGAGAAACCUAACUUAGGUGGGCCAGGUGCACAGCCAGGCAGCUGGUCUGUCCAGGUUAGUACCAGUGCCUCUCCUGGGUAGCACCAUCUGUCCUGGGCACCCUGAGGAUGACCUCCCUGUCCCUCAGGCAGGUGGGCAACAGGUGUGCUGGAUAAGACACCAAGGGCCCUGGCCAGAUCCACGAGGAGGUAGUUGGAGGGGAGGGUGCAGGUGCCCUGGCGGGUUGAGGGGCAGGGGCAAGUAAAGAGUUAAGUGGUGAAGUUGCCUCAAGUGAGGGCUCUCCCUGCCACACCCCAGGCAGGUGCUGCAGGUCUUGGUGCUCAGGUUCCAGCACUGACAGGUGAGACCUGGCUGAGCUGUGGACGUAGUUUGGCCACUGUCCCCACAGGGGCCUCUGGGGCACCACAGCUGAGCUGGGCAAGGUUGCAGCCUGGCUCAGGCUUAAACACACUACAUUGUCACUGGGCCCCUCCCCUGCUCCCAGGAGCCCAGGGCAGGGUGACCUCCAGUGGGUGUGCUCCUCUGCACCCCCACACCCAGGGGCCAGAACAAGCUUCUCCUCCCCACCCCCAGCCAGCCCACAGCCAGCCCUGAGCACAAAGAAGUCGGCCUGCCCACCUUCUCCCCACAGGUGUGCCUUUACGUACACUGACUCUCCUAUAUCUGUGAGCCUUGCACACACACAACACACAUAUACACACGUAUGUACGAUACAUGUGCACACACAAUACACAGGAUACACAUACACAGCAAACACAUGCCAUGAACAACCUACAACACAAAACGUACACACAGACCCACACACAACUGAUACAAAACACAGUUGCACACGUACAUGCAAACACACAGGAUACUUUCCUCGCAUUUUUACUUUGAGCAACAACCAAACAAAAAAAGUCUGAAAAUUGAAAAGGGACUCAGAUUUGAGAGAAUUGUCCCCACUCCCCACCAUAUCUUUCCUAGUGGCCCUUGUGGCAUUUGGGAAGCUGGCCCCAGGGCCAAGUGCUGGUCUUAGCUCAGUCAGCUUCCUGUCCCUCACGUGGGCUGGCCUUGCCAGGUGCCCUCCCCUGCCACCCCCCUCAGACACAGUGGAGCUGGCCUCAGGCUGUCCAACCACAGAUCCAUGGGACUUCCCUAGCCCUCCACCCCUCUUGCCAUUUCCGCACACCACACUCCCUGCAGACCCUGCUGUGUGUGGGUCACCCAGGGAAGGCCUCACUUCUGAGUGUGAAUCCAGCCUUUCUGGGCCUCUGGGGGUCAGGGUGUCUGUGGCUCUCUAAUAGCCUCUGUUUAUGAGCAAGGCUCUUGUCAUGGAGUGAAUCACCGGAUGCCCCCUGCCACCCCAGUGAGGGCCAGGGCCAGCGGUAUGCCCAUUUUACAACUGAGGAUCUGAGGCCCUAAGAAGUGGGUCACACCAGCUCAGGGUCAAGUAAAUUGGCUGAACCUGUGUUCUUAACUCUGGGGUCAAACCACCCUGUCUGCUCCCUUGAGCCAUUUUCUUGGAGCCUCGUGAGGGCCCCAGUGUGGGUGCACGGGGUUGUCGCCCCUGCAGGGCAGUCAGUGCCAGGAGCUUACAGGGCUGAUCCAACUACUUGGCUUCCUCAUGUGCCAGGUCCUUCUUCUCCCAACUGCGUACAGUGGCAACAUCUUCCCUAUGGGCUGUGGUGACAUUAAAAAGUUAAUCCAUGUA